rnacentral:rRNA from 1 species
GACGAACGCUGGCGGCGUGCCUAAUACAUGCAAGUCGAACGCAGUGGGGACGGGUGAGUAACACGUGGGUAACCUCCCAUCAGAGGGGAUAACACUUGGAAACAGGUGCUAAACCGAUAUUGAUGGCUGGACCCGGGGGGCAUUAGCUAGGUGGUGGGGUAACGGCUCACCAAGGCCACGAUGCAUAGCCGACCUGAGAGGGUGAUCGGCCACACUGGGACUGAGACACGGCCCAGACUCCUACGGGAGGCAGCAGUAGGGAAUAUUGGGCAAUGGACGCAAGUCUGACCGAGCAACGCCGCGUGAGUGAAGAAGGCUUUCGGAUCGUAAAACUCUGUUGGUGGAGAAGCGGUAUCUGACGAGAAAGCCACGGCUAACUACGUGCCAGCAGCCGCGGUAAUAC